GCAGUCAUUAAUGUUAUCUCAGGGGAUCUGGGCUUUAACAGCGAAGGUCCCAGGUUCAGAUCCUGUUGACAGACUGUAAGAUUAAUACUAACAAUCUUGCCUAGCAAAAUACUGCAGGGAUCACCUUCUCCGAGGCCUCAGGUGCUUGGGAGAGCAGGCAGCCGAUGAUGUAUGAGGCACAGUGUUGUCCUCUUGGCUGGGACCAAGGUGUUUUGCUACGUUCUGGGUGUUUCUACUGCCUUUUUUUGCUGCUGAAACUGUGGAGAUGCUGGAGGUAUCAUCCAAGCCAUGCCCUUCAGCUCCCCAGACCUACCAGCUAACAGCGGGAUGUGAAUAGGGAUUACAAAACAGCAGGUUCCUGGGUCAGCAUGGGACCAGUGCAUCUGUAGCCUUUGACUUCCAAAAUUCAGUGCAAGGCAGAGUACCUGCUGCUGGUGGUAAUUCAAAAGUGGGGCAAGACAAUCUCACUAAAGCAAAACCACUGAGAUGAAAAGGAUUAGAUAACAUCAGCCACGUUUGUCAAAUCAGCUGGAGAGAGCUCUUGGUCCAGCUUUCAGUAGACCUCUGGCUGCAUGGCGCUGCCUCGAAAACACCAACCUUCACCUCCAUCCCCUGGGACACAGGAGAGGGCAGAGGAGCCACCAGCUACAGAUAAGGUUUGGCUGUGGUAAUAAGGAGGCCAUUGCAGCCAUGAAUAAUCUGUUUUCUACAGUCUCCACAGCCCGUGUGGUGUGAAAAGCUGGACAAGGAUUUGUAAAUGAAUUGAGCCCAAGAGUAAUUACACGUUCCUGCAGAUUACUUGGUGCCGUAAUUGCACUUAGUAUUUACCAUGUGACCUAAGCCAGAAAUAAUCAUGUAUUUACUUUAUAUUUAUAUUGUAACGUGCCAUGUACUGUAAUUAUACUGCCACUCCAUGGUACUUAACACAUCAUCGAAUGUUCCACAAUUAUCAUGUUAGUAAAUAGCACUUACCGAGAUUUGUGGCCUGUAAUUUCAAGCAUUACCUGCUAAAGAUUUAGUGUAGCAAUGUCAAAAAACCUGUUUCUUGACCAUGUCAUUUCAUAUAAAAAAAUGCUAAGUCCUAGAACUUAGAAAUCAGUUUUUUAAAAUUCAUAAAUUGAAAAUACAAAGGAAAAGCUAGAUUUGGAA
rnacentral:lncRNA from 1 species